rnacentral:pre_miRNA from 9 species
UCUCGAUAGCGUAAAAGUUAACUCAAACUUGUAUGGAGUUGGAACGUUUGCCUACGUUUGCCGCUAGGGGCGCUGUUCCAAACUGCAUACAAAUUUCAGCUAACUUUUACGCUAUCGA